rnacentral:rRNA from 1 species
UGGAAGUAAAAAGUCGUAACAAGGUCUCCGUUGGUGAACCAGCGGAGGGAUCAUUACUGAGUUUACGCUCUACAACCCUUUGUGAACAUACCUAUAACUGUUGCUUCGGCGGGUAGGGUCUCCGUGACCCUCCCGGCCUCCCGCCCCCGGGCGGGUCGGCGCCCGCCGGAGGAUAACCAAACUCUGAUUUAACGACGUUUCUUCUGAGUGGUACAAGCAAAUAAUCAAAACUUUUAACAACGGAUCUCUUGGUUCUGGCAUCGAUGAAGAACGCAGCGAAAUGCGAUAAGUAAUGUGAAUUGCAGAAUUCAGUGAAUCAUCGAAUCUUUGAACGCACAUUGCGCCCGCCAGCAUUCUGGCGGGCAUGCCUGUUCGAGCGUCAUUUCAACCCUCAAGCUCUGCUUGGUGUUGGGGCCCUACAGCUGAUGUAGGCCCUCAAAGGUAGUGGCGGACCCUCCCGGAGCCUCCUUUGCGUAGUAACUUUACGUCUCGCACUGGGAUCCGGAGGGACUCUUGCCGUAAAACCCCCAAUUUUCCAAAGGUUGACCUCGGAUCAGG